GGUUAAGCGACUAAGCGUACACGGUGGAUGCCCUGGCAGUCAGAGGCGAUGAAGGACGUGCUAAUCUGCGAAAAGCGCCGGCGAGGUGAUAUGAACCUUUGACCCGGCGAUGUCCGAAUGGGGAAACCCAGUGUGAUUCGUCACACUAUCGUUAACUGAAUACAUAGGUUAACGAGGCGAACCGGGGGAACUGAAACAUCUAAGUACCCCGAGGAAAAGAAAUCAACCGAGAUUCCCCCAGUAGCGGCGAGCGAACGGGGAGCAGCCCAGAGUCUGAAUCAGCUUGUGUGUUAGUGGAAGCGUCUGGAAAGUCGCACGGUACAGGGUGACAGUCCCGUACACGAAAAUGCACAGGUUGUGAACUCGAAGAGUAGGGCGGGACACGUGGUAUCCUGUCUGAAUAUGGGGGGACCAUCCUCCAAGGCUAAAUACUCCUGACUGACCGAUAGUGAACCAGUACCGUGAGGGAAAGGCGAAAAGAACCCCGGCGAGGGGAGUGAAAAAGAACCUGAAACCGUGUACGUACAAGCAGUGGGAGCACCUUCGUGGUGUGACUGCGUACCUUUUGUAUAAUGGGUCAGCGACUUAUAUUCUGUAGCAAGGUUAACCGUAUAGGGGAGCCGAAGGGAAACCGAGUCUUAACUGGGCGUUAAGUUGCAGGGUAUAGACCCGAAACCCGGUGAUCUAGCCAUGGGCAGGUUGAAGGUUGGGUAACACUAACUGGAGGACCGAACCGACUAAUGUUGAAAAAUUAGCGGAUGACUUGUGGCUGGGGGUGAAAGGCCAAUCAAACCGGGAGAUAGCUGGUUCUCCCCGAAAGCUAUUUAGGUAGCGCCUCGUGAACUCAUCUUCGGGGGUAGAGCACUGUUUCGGCUAGGGGGCCAUCCCGGCUUACCAACCCGAUGCAAACUACGAAUACCGAAGAAUGUUAUCACGGGAGACACACGGCGGGUGCUAACGUCCGUCGUGAAGAGGGAAACAACCCAGACCGCCAGCUAAGGUCCCAAAGUCAUGGUUAAGUGGGAAACGAUGUGGGAAGGCACAGACAGCCAGGAUGUUGGCUUAGAAGCAGCCAUCAUUUAAAGAAAGCGUAAUAGCUCACUGGUCGAGUCGGCCUGCGCGGAAGAUGUAACGGGGCUAAACCAUGCACCGAAGCUGCGGCAGCGAC
rnacentral:rRNA from 1 species